rnacentral:rRNA from 1 species
GAUGAACGCUGGCGGCGUGCCUAAUACAUGCAAGUCGAGCGAACAGACGAGGAGCUUGCUCCUCUGACGUUAGCGGCGGACGGGUGAGUAACACGUGGAUAACCUACCUAUAAGACUGGGAUAACUUCGGGAAACCGGAGCUAAUACCGGAUAAUAUAUUGAACCGCAUGGUUCAAUAGUGAAAGACGGUUUUGCUGUAACUUAUAGAUGGAUCCGCGCCGCAUUAGCUAGUUGGUAAGGUAACGGCUUACCAAGGCAACGAUGCGUAGCCGACCUGAGAGGGUGAUCGUCCACACUGGAACUGAGACACGGUCCAGACUCCUACGGGAGGCAGCAGUAGGGAAUCUUCCGCAAUGGGCGAAAGCCUGACGGAGCAACGCCGCGUGAGUGCUGAAGGUCUUCGGAUCGUAAAACUCUGUUAUUAGGGAAGAACAAAUGUGUAAGUAACUAUGCACGUCUUGACGGUACCUAAUCAGAAAGCCACGGCUAACUACGUG